rnacentral:lncRNA from 1 species
GUCUCUGCAGGUGGCUUCUGCUCACGGGAAGCUGCACUCCAAUUACAGCAGGAGCACCAGUGGGCCAGCGGUGCCGGCACUGCAGGAACAGGGUGAGGCCUCGCUCCGAGAGCCGUGGAUGAGGAGUGGGGCAUGGAGAGCUCUGCUCCCAGACCUGCCACAUAACUGAGCCCUUCAGUUUGAGCUAAGGUGUUCCACCUUGGAAGCAAGGACAGAAUUUGAUGGCCUCUGCAACAACAUCAGUGAUAAGAUUUAAUUUUAAAGGAGGUGCAUGUGCAAACCCCACCUGGCUGCUUUGUCUCCCAGAGGUAAUGGUAACUUCUAGGAAGACCUUCUUUGAAAGUGUCAAGAUAGUUCACCCCAGUAGUUAUCCCCGGGUGCUGAGCUUACAGAUUCUAGCUGGCCAAUGAUGAACUACAGCCCAGUUUUGUGGUCAUUACUGGGCAGUGUGCAGGUAAGUUACAUUUUGCCCUGUGUGAGCUUGUACUCAUGGGCCCUCUUCUGUCAGCAGAAGCAGUGAGGAAGCAGGCAGCCACAUGGGAGCCUCUUGGCCAG